AGUGAACGCUGGCGGCGUGCUUAACACAUGCAAGUCGAACGGGAACGGGGUAUAGCUUGCUAGAAUUGUCAGCUAAGUGGCGCACGGGUGAGUAAUGUAUAGGUAAUAUGCCUCUUACUAAGGGAUAACAAAUGGAAACGUUUGCUAAUACCCUAUACUCCUUAUUAACAGAAGUUAAUAAGGGAAAGAUUUAUUGGUAAGAGAUUAGCCUGUAUUGUAUCAGUUAGUUGGUGGGGUAAUGGCUUACCAAGACUAUGACACAUAACUGGUUUGAGAGGAUGAUCAGUCACACUGGAACUGAGACACGGUCCAGACUCCUACGGGAGGCAGCAGUGGGGAAUAUUGCACAAUGGACGAAAGUCUGAUGCAGCAACGCCGCGUGGAGGAUGACACAUUUCGGUGCGUAAACUCCUUUUAUAUGAAAAGAUAAUGACGGUAUUAUAUGAAUAAGCACCGGCUAACUCCGUGCCAGCAGCCGCAGUAACAC
rnacentral:rRNA from 1 species